CUGUAACCAAUAAGAAGAAUAGUGCUAUAAAAGGGUGGGUUGGCUGGUGGAGAAGGAACUGGAGUCAAGUGGUUACUUGGUGAGGAAUUGGAGUCAGUUGACUAUUUAGUGAGGAAGAAAGAGUCAGUGCUCUGAGGAGCUGCCCAUGAGAAAACAUCAAGAAGAAUGGAGGACUGAAGUAGAUUUUUCUGUAUAGACUAAUCAACAACAGCACUUGGACUUGUCUGCAAUCAGGAUGUCUUAUGAUGUGUGUAUUUAACAAGGUCUUGAUCAGAUCCGUGAGCUACGAUGCCAAGAGCUGUGUCCUGUGUGUGCAGUUGAGGUGUGUGUUAAAACUUUUUUCAGCAGUGGACUGACUACCAUCUAAAUAGUGUACUUUCAUCUGCUCUUCUUUCAUCAAUAGCAGUUUUCCCUAGCAGUGAGAUGGAAAUUAGAGGCAGAGAUUUCAUUAGGCAGUUGCAUUUGGACAUCUGAAGAUGCAGAAGCCAUAGACAGCCUUAUGACUCUAGUCUGAAAUGCUGGUAAUCCUGAUAGGUGUGAUGUAUUGCUGGCAUACCUCAUACUUUAUUGUGCUUCCACUCUGUGGUCCAUUCCUACAAAUUCUCACCACACGUGACCAUCAUGAAGAUGUGGACAGGUUCGGGGGAAAUGUACCUCAAUACACCUAAAACAAUUAGGGGCAGUGCAGCCCAGCUGCGGUGGUAUGGUGGCUGCUGCAGCUUGAGACUUGGCAGAACAGGUGAGGCCCCUUUUGCUCUCCUGUCUUGUGUGUCUUGGAAGGUAAAACCCACAAUCCACCAUUAACAAAAUUUGUAUUUCCCAGUAAAGAGGCAGUACUAUCCAAUCCAGAAGCAUCAUUCCCACAGGGACAGUGUGAUGGAUGUACAUAAAUGUCUAAUAACUGUAUGAGUACUGUCUUUUCAUUGCUGGGGUGCAUUUCUUUUUGUUAUAAAAACAGUUUUGCUGAGGAAUAAGUCCUCCUCUCAAAAAUACAUUGUUAAAUUAAGUCUGCCAGUGGAGCAGUGCCAAUUCCUUGAGCAUUACCGCCCGUGUACAAGUUCCUUUUAAAAUGUUAACUUCAUUAGGAAAUACAGCCAGGAUGUGAGGUUCUGAGAGGUUGUUUUUUGUUUUGUUUUUCUCUGAAGGCUUUAAGUAUGAUUCAGUCGAGUUACAGAGCUGCUAAUGCUUCACCCACAGCAGGAUUUGAUGGGAUCGUGGCAUGUUUGUUACUGUAAGGCUUUGUUGACUUGCUUGUUAUUGCUACAGUGCCUUUUAGUAUUUCAGCUAAGACUAGUACUCUAAGCACUUGUUUUUCUGAGAAUUAUUUAGGUGUUUUUCAUUCUUCUGCCUGUUACGUACCCACAUAUGAAGUCAGGGGAAAAAAAAAGAUAGAGAGAUACAGGGGAGUUAAAAUUAUCAUUGCCAGAGUUACAGAAGCCAGCUUUAACCCUCCUGAGUGAAGGAAGGUGUUUCCCUGUAUAAAUUAUUCCAUAAUACGAUGAUAUGUAGUGCUGUGCCUUGUAUUUUUGGCAGCUUGUUUUGGUGGCACUGUUUAAGGAAAGAAUGCAGGAUGAAUGGAUCCCUGGCAUGAUCCAGAAAGUGCUUUUCCCUGAACGGCAAGAAUGAGUUUAAGUUUAUGGUGCUGUUUUGAAAUUUCAACUUGUUUUCACAAGCCAUAUGGCUGCUACAGAUGUCAGAGACCUUUUAAUUCUUCUGCCAAAGGCUUUUUUUUUCCUAGCAAGCGUAGUCUUGUGCCAAAGCAGAAGUACUCAUGGAACUUGAAUCCCCCUCUCUGUGGUGCAGGAAAUGAGGAAGCUAUCACAUGGAUGCUGUCAGUCAGAUCAUGAACAGGGGAGAGGCUCUGUUCAUUCCUGCAGGCAGUGAUCCUUGCCAGCUCUCUUAAGACCUUCACAUCCACCUUGACACGAGAAAGCUCCACUGGUGUUUCACUCAUUACCUCACCUGCAACUGAAAGAAUCCUGGGCCCAUUAGGGCAAACAAUACAGGAGUAUAGGAUUGCAAGAUGAUGUGCAAGUGCUAAUUGAAGUAUUGUUUAAAGCUGGCAUAGUUAAAUAAAUACAGAACCUGAGGUGGACAUCAUUAUAUUUGUUAGAAUCUAAUCUUUUGGGAUUUGUAGAAGAAAAUUUUUGAGUGGACUUAACUUAAUACUAGACUUUCUCUUUGUGUAUCCAAGGCAUGUAUCUCUUUAUUUAUCUGUAUGGAUACAACCAGUUCUCCAAUAUUUUAAUUCUUACACCUUUUUCCUUCUGUUGUGCUAGUGAAAAUACCUCUUGAUAAAAGUGUCAGUUCUGCAGAGCUGGAGUCCUGGGCUGCCAGGUCCACAAGCCAGGGGUCUCUCUACCUUAUGGAGUGAAAAUAAUUGAAAGUAAGAGUGGUCUAUUGUCCUUCAUAUAGGACAGUUGCAAGAAGGAGAAUGUGACCCUCACAGCUGUACAGGCGUUACUAGACAACACUGGAAUUCCAGGAGUUGGACUUCUAGGCUGUGGAGAGGCACAGAUCCCCAUGGUUACAGAGUGCCCUAACUUUGACAUCUUUGUUCUAAAAGAUGCAGUUAAGUGGCCUUCAUGUCGUUGUAUUAUAGUCAGGGGUUUGUUUCCAACCAGAAAUGACCUUGUAAAAUCUCAGGCUGUUACAAGCAUGAAACAAAGAAAUGCUGUUUACCUGCUACAUAAGACAGCACCUCUAGUCACUUUAAAAAAAGUUCUGAAAUAUUAAAUAUUAUGACUUAUAAAAACCAGCUGAAAGCUGAGCAUGAAAUCUGCAUUCCUUGGUCUGGUUGUCUUCCCAAUGUUGUUUUAGUUUUGCACUGUGUAUAUUUUAUCUUGAGAUUUGGGAAGGAGUGUGCAAGACAGAAAAUCAUCAGAACCUGAAAAACAGUAAAUAUGUUCAUUAAUCAUUCUUAGGGACAGAGGUGCAUUAUUUAAUGCAGAUAAAGGAAGAGUAGAACUUAAACUAUGUUUAGUGAAAAUGGAAGGUUAGAGACUUUAGGAGCAAACAAUAAUAAACUAUAAGAAAGUAUAUAUUUUUGAAACUUCAGAUCUCAGCCACAGGUCUCUCUGCAAAGGUAACAAAAAUAGUUUCUGACACAAUGAUUCUGUCCCUGCUAAAUUUCAAAUUCUGGUUCUAAAACACAGAACAUAAACGUCUCACAAAAAUAGCGGGAAAAUUUGGCAAUCAUUUACAAGUUUUUUCCUCUCAAUUUUUGUUUGAAUCUAGUGAGAUAUUAAGCAGUUUAGAAGCUUGAAGCUUUUCAACUUUAAGGACUGAGAGAUAGACUUCCUGUGAUGUCUAGCAUAAAAAAAAAAAACCAAACAAGCAUUAAAAGAUGAAUUCUUACUAUGGACAGACCCUCAGCUGAUACAAAGAUAUAUUUCAUUUUAUGAUUAGAGCUGUGGCUAGUUAAUGGAUGCUUAUCUGACUUAGAGCUACUAGUGUGAGACAUUUAGAGAAAUGGUUGCUGAGAGGAAGGUUUUAUAGAAACCUGACCUCUACAAACCACUCAAGGGCCAAUGGUGGGGCCUUUCCCUGGGACACAGGAGGCUGGUUUAGGCUUAAGUCUACAGUAUUGUACACAGGGCAGCCUUGGGGCAUUCCUCAUGUCCAAAGAUUUAAAUCACUAAUACUUCCACCCGAUGAUUCUGAUCUUUCACUCCUCACUUGUAAAUGAAUUUAUAUCUACACAGAUGCUAUUCAAAAUACUGUUACUGAGGGAAUAGCCACACCAGUGGUUAUUUCCACUGAGCAGUACAGCAUUGCAACAUUAUUAAAUAGCUCUUGAGUAUGAAUUCAUCCAAGAAGUGGGUUAUUGGAAUAAAAUCUAUUUUAUUAGUGCCUUAGGACACUCAGCCAAAACCCAGAGUCCCCGAGCGCUAUUCAGACACAUAAGAUGAAACAGUCUCUACCUCAGAAAUCUAUAAUCAGAUUAUACAAAGCAGACAAAUAAAAGAAAUAGAGAAAUUGAGACAGGAAGGGGCAAAAUGGGUUCUCUGUCAUCACAUAGCUGGGAAGUGUGUAGCUAGGCAAUUGCACAGGUAGCUUUUUUUAAAAAAGUAAAAAUGAAAAAGUGCAGCAAUGUAAAUGAGAAUUUGUUAACAACAAAACCCAGAAUCUGCACCUCCGGAAAGAAAGGGAAAAUAAUUUAUCCACCCACAC